rnacentral:lncRNA from 1 species
ACUCUCCAUGGAUCACAGUGAAAGAAGAGCCUCACAGCACUUGUCCUUGACAAUGGCGCCACAUGUGCCAAGCCGGCUUUGCUGGGGAUGACGCCCCCAAGCCAUGUUCCCCUCCAUUGUUGGGCGCCCCCAGCACCAGAAUAUAAACUCUGUCAGAGUAAAGACUUGUCUUUCUAGUAAGCACACAGGACAGCAUCAGAGAUAGCAUAAGGUUCCAAUAAAUAUUACUGGAACUGAGCCAGAAGGACUCCCACAUGGGUGAAGAGGCCCAGAGCAAGCAUGGCAUCCUGACAUUGAAGUACUCCUUCAAGCACAGCAUUAUUUCCAACUGGUACAACAUGGAGAAGAUCUGGCAUCAUACCCUCUGCAAUGAGCUGCAUGUGGUUCCUGAGGAGCACCCAGUGCUGCUGCCCGAGGCUCCUCUGAACCCCAAGGCCAACAGAGAGAAGUUGACUCAGAUCAUGUUUGAGACCUUGGAUACCCCCUGCCAUGUAUGUGGCACCCAGGGCCAUGCUGUCCCUGUACACCUCCGGUAGUACUACUAGUAUUGUCAUGGACUCUGGAGAUGGGGUCACUUACACAGUGCCAUCUUUGAGGGCUAUGCCUUUCCCUAGGCCAUCCUGCACCUGGACCUCAUGAAGAUCCUCACAUAGUGUGGCUACAGCUUCACCACCACUGCCUAGUGGGAGAUAGUGCGCGACAUCAAGGAGAAGCUGUGCUAUGCUGCCCUAGACUUUGAGCAGGUGAUGGCCACCAUGGCAUCCUCUUCCUCCCUGGAAAGGAGCUAGUUGCUGAUUUACGGCUAGGUCAUCACCAUCAGCAGUGAGAGGUUCUGGUGUCCAGAGGCGCUUUUCCUUUUUCCUGAGAAUGGAAUCUUGAGGCAUCCUUGGGACCACCUUCAACUCUGUCAUGAAGUGUGGUGUGCACAUUCACAAGGACCUAUAUGCUGACACAGUGCUAUCUGGAGGCACAAUCACAUACCUGGGCAUCACUGACAGGAUAUAGAAGGAGAUCACUGCCCGGACACCCAACACCACGAAGAUCAAGAUCAUCACCCCCACUGAGCUCAAAUACUCGGUGUGGAUCAGAAGCUCCAUGCUGGCCUCCCUUUCCACCUUCCAGCAGAUGUGGAUCACCCAGCAG